AUGGAGAGAUGGCGUGACCUGAUCCGAGUCAUCUCUACCAAAACCCUAACUAACGAGGAGGACCAACCUGUUUGGUUGUUAGAAACAUCAGGGACAUACUCGGUCAAAUCCUUUUAUUCCAUGAUUAACUGGGGUGGGGUUUCUACUCCUGUCUGGAAUUUUUUUUGGAAGAUUGUUGUACCCCACAGGUAUCUAGUCUUUUUGUGGCUAGCUUUUAAUAAUAAAAUUCUCACCAGAGAUAAUUUGAACAAAAGAAGGUCGGUGGAUUACUUAAAAUGCUUAUACUGUGAUGAGGAGGAAUCAGUCUGCCACCUUUUCUUUGAAUGUGUAGUUGCCAGACAGGUUUGGAGUGAUGUGGCUGACUCUUUUGAGUUCAUUAUCCCUAAUAACAUGGCUGAAUUGUCCUCUUUCUGGAAUGUGAAUAAUAAGAAUCUGUUGUCAAUAUUGCCUGUGUUGCUACCAUUUCGAGCAUUUGCACUAUGCGUAACGAUAUGUGUUUUCAGGGUAUACCAUGGACAAGCACCUGUGCAAUCUUGGCAAGGAUCAGCACAUCGCUACAUCAAUGGAAGAUCCUUUGCGGAGGCGACCAAUCGGUCCUACUGA
rnacentral:rRNA from 1 species